CCAAUAGCGUAUAUUAAAGUUGUUGCAGUUAAAAAGCUCGUAGUUGAAUUUCGAGAUCAAAUUGUUGGUCGUGCCUUGGUACGCACUGGCAUUAUUGGUUUCUCCCUUCUGACGAACCUUGAUGUCAUUAAUUUGGUGUCUUGGGAAAUCAGGACUGUUACUUUGAAAAAAUUAGAGUGUUUAAAGCAGGCUCACGCUUGAAUACAUUAGCAUGGAAUAAUGCAAUAGGACGUUUGAUUCUAUUUUGUUGGUUUCUAGGAUCGACGUAAUGAUUAAUAGGGAUAGUUGGGGGCAUUAGUAUUCAAUUGUCAGAGGUGAAAUUCUUGGAUUUAUUGAAGACUAACUACUGCGAAAGCAUUUGCCAAGGAUGUUUUCAUUAAUCAAGAACGAAAGUUAGGGGAUCGAAGACGAUCAGAUACCGUCGUAGUCUUAACCAUAAACUAUGCCGACUAGGGAUCGGAUGAUGUUAAUUUUUUAAUGACUCAUUCGGCGCCUUACG
rnacentral:rRNA from 1 species